AUUGAACGCUGGCGGCAUGCCUUACACAUGCAAGUCGAACGGUAACAGGUCUUCGGAUGCUGACGAGUGGCGAACGGGUGAGUAAUACAUCGGAACGUGCCUAGUAGUGGGGGAUAACUACUCGAAAGAGUGGCUAAUACCGCAUGAGAUCUACGGAUGAAAGCAGGGGAUCGCAAGACCUUGUGCUACUAGAGCGGCCGAUGGCAGAUUAGGUAGUUGGUGGGAUAAAAGCUUACCAAGCCGACGAUCUGUAGCUGGUCUGAGAGGACGAUCAGCCACACGGGGACGAGGACACGGCCCGGACUCCUACGGGAGGCGGCAGUGGGAAAUUUUGGACAAUGGGCGCAAGCCUGAUCAGGCAAUGCCGCGUGAAGAAUGAAGGCCUUCGGGUUGUAAACUGCUUUUGUACGGAACGAAAAGCCCUGGGUUAAUACCCGGGGGUCAGAACGGUACCGUAAGAAUAGCACCGGCUAACUACGUG
rnacentral:rRNA from 1 species